rnacentral:rRNA from 1 species
CCUACGGGAGGCAGCAGUGAGGAAUAUUGGUCAAUGGGCGGGAGCCUGAACCAGCCAAGUCGCGUGAAGGAAGAAGGUACCUAGUAUUGUAAACUUCUUUUGUCGGGGAACAAAGUCGGAGACGCGUCUCCGGAUGAGUGUACCUGAAGAAAAAGCAUCGGCUAACUCCGUGCCAGCAGCCGCGGUAAUACGGAGGAUGCGAGCGUUAUCCGGAUUUAUUGGGUUUAAAGGGUGCGUAGGCGGGAGAUCAAGUCAGCGGUAAAAUGUCGGGGCUCAACCUGUGUAUGGCAGUUGAUACUUGCGAGCUGGAGUGCGCGAGAGGUAAAGGGAAUUCGUGGUGUAGCGGUGAAAUGCUUAGAUAUCAGGAAGAACAUCGAUGGCGUAAGCACUUUACUGGGGCGUAAUUGACGCUGAGGAACGAAAGCCAGGGUAGCGAAUGGGAUUAGAUACCCGUGUAGUC